rnacentral:tRNA from 1 species
CAUAGGAUGGUUUGGUGGGUUAAAGCACUGGACUUGGAUUUCGGAGAACUGGGUUCAUUUCCCAGCCUUACUA